GGCCCGGGGGAUUCGAUUCAGGCCUAACACAUGCAAGUCGAACGAAGCACUUUUCUUGAAUCUAAGGAGGACAGAGUUGUGACUGAGUGGCGGACGGGUGAGUAACGCGUGGGUAACCUGCCGCUGUACAGGGGGAUAAGAGUUAGAAAUGACUGCUAAUACCGCAUAAGCGCACGAGGUAGCAUGAUCUUGUGUGAAAAACUCCGGUGGUACAGGAUGGGCCCGCGUCUGAGUAGCUUGUUGGCGGGGUAAGAGCCCACCAAGGCGACGAUCGGUAGCCGGUCUGGGGGGAUGAACGGCCACAGUUGGAACUGAGACAGGGUCGAAACUCCUACGGGAGGCAGCAGUGGGGA
rnacentral:rRNA from 1 species